GAUGAAAACGUAGCGAAAUGCGAUAAGUAAUGUGAAUUGCAGAAUUCAGUGAAUCAUCGAAUCUUUGAACGCACAUUGCGCCCCCUGGUAUUCCGGGGGGCAUGCCUGUUCGAGCGUCAUUUCACCACUCAAGCCUCGCUUGGUAUUGGGCAACGCGGUCCGCCGCGUGCCUCAAAUCGACCGGCUGGGUCUUCUGUCCCCUAAGCGUUGUGGAAACUAUUCGCUAAAGGGUGUUCGGGAGGCUACGCCGUAAAACAACCCCAUUUCUAAGGUUGACCUCGGAUCAGGUAGGGAUACCCGCUGAACUUAAGCAUAUCAAUAAGCGGAGGA
rnacentral:misc_RNA from 1 species